GUGGGGAAUAUUGGGCAAUGGGCGAAAGCCUGACCCAGCAACGCCGCGUGAGGGAAGAAGGUUUUCGGAUUGUAAACCUCUGUCCUUGGGGACGAAGAAAGUGACGGUACCCAGGGAGGAAGCCCCGGCUAACUACGUGCCAGCAGCCGCGGUAAUACGUAGGGGGCGAGCGUUGUUCGGAAUGACUGGGCGUAAAGGGCGCGUAGGCGGCCGAUUAAGUCUGGAGUGAAAGUCCUGUUUUUAAGGCGGGAAUUGCUUUGGAGACUGGUUGGCUUGAGUGCGGAAGAGGUAAGUGGAAUUCCCAGGGUAGCGGUGAAAUGCGUAGAGAUUGGGAGGAACACCAGUGGCGAAGGCGACUUACUGGGCCGUAACUGACGUUGAUGCGCGAAAGCGUGGGGAGCGAACAGGAUUAGAAACCCCUGUAGUCC
rnacentral:rRNA from 1 species